rnacentral:rRNA from 1 species
AGGAUGAACGCUGGCGGCGUGCUUAACACAUGCAAGUCGAACGAUGAAGGCUGGAGCUUGCUCUGGCUGGAUUAGUGGCGAACGGGUGAGUAACACGUGAGUAACCUGCCCCAGACUCUGGGAUAAGCGCUGGAAACGGCGUCUAAUACCGGAUACGAGCUUCCACCGCAUGGUGAGGAGCUGGAAAGAAUUUCGGUCUGGGAUGGACUCGCGGCCUAUCAGCUUGUUGGUGAGGUAAUGGCUCACCAAGGCGACGACGGGUAGCCGGGCCUGGAGAGGGUGACCGGCCA